ACACGUAGGGGGCAAGCGUUUUCCGGAUGUAUUGGGCGUAAAGAGCUCGUAGGUGGCUGAGUAGUCGGAUGUUAAAUCUCCAGGCUCAACCUGGAACACCAUCCGAUACUGCUCUGGCUAGAGUCCGGUAGGGGAGUGUGGAAUUCCUGGCGUAGCGGUGAAAUGCGCAGAUAUCAGGAGGAACACCAGCGGCGAAGGCGGCACUCUGGGCCGGUACUGACACUGAGGAGCGAAAGCAUGGGUAGCAAACAGGAUUAGAAACCCUAGUAGUCC
rnacentral:rRNA from 1 species